rnacentral:rRNA from 1 species
UACAGAGGGUGCAAGCGUUAAUCGGAAUUACUGGGCGUAAAGCGUGCGUAGGCGGUUAUCUAAGUCGGGUGUGAAAUCCCCGGGCUCAACCUGGGAAUUGCACUGGAUACUGGCAGGCUAGAGUGCGGUAGAGGAUGGCGGAAUUCCCGGUGUAGCAGUGAAAUGCGUAGAGAUCGGGAGGAACAUCUGUGGCGAAGGCGGCCAUCUGGACCAGCACUGACACUGAGGCACGAAAGCGUGGGGAGCAAACAGG